rnacentral:rRNA from 1 species
GACGAACGCUGGCGGCGUGCCUAAUACAUGCAAGUCGAACGCUGAAGGCGGAGCUUGCUCUUCUGGAUGAGUUGCGAACGGGUGAGUAACGCGUAGGUAACCUGCCUGGUAGCGGGGGAUAACUAUUGGAAACGAUAGCUAAUACCGCAUAAGAGUAGAUGUUGCAUGACAUUUACUUAAAAGGUGCGAUUGCAUCUCUACCAGAUGGACCUGCGUUGUAUUAGCUAGUUGGUGGGGUAACGGCUUAUCAAGGCGACGAUACAUAGCCGACCUGAGAGGGGGAGCGGCCACACUGGGACUGGGGCACGGCCCAGAACCCUGCGGGAGGGAGCAGGAGGGGAUCUUCGGCGAAGGACGGAAGGCUGACUGAGGAACGCCGCGUGAGAGAAGGAGGUAUUCAGGUCGUAAAAGUCUUUUGUAAGAGAAGGACGAGUGUGAGAGUGAAAAGUUCACACUGUGACGGUACCUGAAGAGAAAGGGACGGCUAACUACGUG